rnacentral:rRNA from 1 species
AUAACAACACAGGACUCUUUCGAGGCCCUGUAAUUGUAAUAAGUCCACUUGAAAUCCUUUAACUCUGAUCAAUUGGAGGGCAAGUCCGGUGCAGAGCGACUGACCCGUGCGUGGUGCAGCUGAAACUCCACUAUCUCCUGCUCGCA